rnacentral:misc_RNA from 1 species
GAAGUCAAAACAUAGCUCUAACCUUUCUCCACACAAACCAAACCCAACAGACUAUGUAGGCCGAACCAUAAAAGAGGGAUAGCUGACCUCCAUCCAGUUCAGAGAGACAAAACAGCGACCUCUUCCCCUAUCCUAAAAGGGAAAGGGAACCGCAGCGGACCCUAUUUGGCGAUUCCAUUAGGAAGAAAUUGGGACCAAAGUUGGAAGGAAAUUUCUCUGUUAAAACAAGAAUAAUAUUUAAAACUUAUGACGGAUUUAUUAAUAAACAUGUCAAUCUCAUUUUCGUCUUUAUAGACUUCCAUUUUCUGACAUAUUCUCCCUUUUCUCUCUCUGCAACAGUCGUGGUAAAAACUGACACUCAUCACGUGAUCUCUCUCUAAAAUGUCGCUCGAAUUUGUCUAAAUCCACGCGCCUGUCUUUAUCUCUCUUUUGAUCACUAUUGCUCUUGUGUGUCUUUCACUUCAGCAUCGAUCCUUUGCUCUCGCAGAUCUGCCUCUGCACUGCAGGGGCCGUGGCCUAAGGUAAAUGCUCAAGUCUGGUGUUGAUUAAUGUUUGCACUCAUUGAAGUGAAGUGUUGCAAUAGAGCAAAUUGAUAAUGCUUUCAUGCAGCCUGUUGAGUUCAAGAAGUAAUACAGGGCUAACACAAAUAGAAUUAAAAGUAAUGAAGUGGUGCAGUGUCCACUUAGCUAUUGAUUUAGACCAUGAGAACUUCCAAUUAAUAUGUAAAUCGUAAGAAACAAUUUGCAGUUUUAUGAGCAUGAUUUAAGUGCUUAUUAUCUGACCACUUCAGCAAGCAACCUUGUGUACCUUUUUCCCAAUCUCUGUUCAUUUAUUGCUUUUGUAAGGCUUUGAGUUGUAAUAUAUACAAAAUGCUGAUUGUGCAAGUCACCUU